rnacentral:rRNA from 1 species
AACGAACGCUGGCGGCAUGCCUAACACAUGCAAGUCGAACGAGACCUUCGGGUCUAGUGGCGCACGGGUGCGUAACGCGUGGGAACCUGCCCUUAGGUUCGGAAUAACUCCCCGAAAGGGGUGCUAAUACCGGAUAAUGUCUUCGGACCAAAGAUUUAUCGCCUUUGGAUGGGCCCGCGUUGGAUUAGCUAGUUGGUAGGGUAAAAGCCUACCAAGGCGACGAUCCAUAGCUGGUCUGAGAGGAUGAUCAGCCACACUGGGACUGAGACACGGCCCAGACUCCUACGGGAGGCAGCAGUGGGGAAUAUUGGACAACGGGCGGAAGCCUGAUGCAGCAACGCCGCGUGCGGGAUGACGGCCUUCGGGUUGUAAACCGCUUUCGCCUGUGACGAAGCGUGAGUGACGGUAAUGGGUAAAGAAGCACCGGCUAACUACGUG